rnacentral:lncRNA from 1 species
CCUAAAUAAGCAUAGGAAGAUCCACUCUCUUCCAAAGUCUUUCUACUCUUUUCACUCAUCUGUUUCACUUUCUUUCGGACCUCUCCAUCCUUAUCCAAAACGCUCCUUAUUCCUCUCUCAAUCUUGUCGGCAGUUAAAAGAUAGUUAGGUCCUCCUUUAAACUCCACUUUAUAAUCUAACGCAAUCUCCACCGCCAACUUCAGCUCAACGACCAAUUCAAAAGCAUUAGUUUGUUGUUCAGCAUAGAUCGGCCAUGUGGCAAUAGGCACACCAAAAUAUAUGCUCUCGAGUGUUGAAUUCCAGCCACAGUGUGAAACAAAUCCACCUGUAGCUGGGUGUGCUAGUAUUUGGGUCUGUGGAGCCCAUCCAAUGACCCUUCCAAUCCCUGUCGUCCGAUCUAAGAACCCUUCGGGCAAAACCAAACUCAAAUCAGAACGAGAGUAUUCAGAGGGUGCAGCCAUGACUCCUUUCGGUUGGGGUUUGCGCAAAGACCACACGAAACGAGCCCCACUGUUCUCAAUAGCAUAUGCGAUCUCCUUAACCUGAUCCUCAUCAAAAGAACCACUUGUCCCAAAGCAAAAGAAAACUACCGAGGAAGGUGGUUGUUCAUCAAGCCACUUGAUGAUAUCAUCCGACUCAACGACAUUUUUGCUUUUGGGCUCAGGAGUUAAUAUCGGUCCUACCGGAUAUAUGAUAGGUAAACCAGCUAGUCCAGGAUGAGAGGAAAAGGAAUGAACCGCAUAUGAUUCUAGCUCUUCAAAUGAAUUUACUAUAAUACCAUCGGAUUUCUUGAGGCCUCCGGUAUACUUCAUGAACAACGAUUCCCAUUCCUUGCUUAUCACGGAACUAGGCAACGAGUAUGAAGGAACCAAGUUGGCAAAAGUCGGAAUAGCCAACUCAGUCUGCUGAAGCAACUGAGUUGGAUCAACGUUGUCUUGUUCACGGAGAGUGUGAAUAUGAAGAUUCAAACCAAGGCAAGCAACGCUGGAAGUGAAGAAGAUGAGCGUAGGGACGGAGAACUCUUUGGCAACAUCAAUCAUGGUGGUGCAGAACAUGUCAACAACGAAGGCGGCAAGUGGUCCAUGUUGUUCUCCAUUAAUGAGAUCAGAUACAGCUUGACGGACAUUUGGUUUCUGAGCUUCAAGAAGAGCGUCAAAGACGGCUCUUGGAUUAGUGUUAGGGGGAACAAAACAUUCCGGAAGGUCAAUGAAGUUGAGAGAAUCUGAGAUGGGAAGUGAUUGAAUGUAAGCAUCAGUUUCUUUUGAGCGUGAGAAUUCUAUGAGUAAAACGGUUAUCCGUAGACGGUUAUCACAGUUAAUUAGAAGCUUUGCUAACUCGAGAGUGGAAACUAAAUGGCUCAGACCGGGAAAAGGGAUAAACACCAGUUGUGCUUUCUUCAUCUUUGGAGCACAAAAUAUAUUCACUAGUUUAAUUUGCUGUGUUUUGCAAUGUUCCUUGAUACUACUGUUUCUAUAUUGGAAUUGGAGGCAUUUAUCUCUUCAUUAUUGCACAGGAAGGGUCCAUGUUGUUUGGCCAAAAGGAUUUUGAAUUUUAUAAUGGCCUUGCUUAAGUAAAUUGUAGAUGUUCUAAAAAACUAUUGAAUAUUUAAGUCAUCUCUAUUUGAUUAGCUGUGUUAUUGCAACAUAUUUCCAAUAACAAAAAAAUUCAAAUAAUUCUGAAGAUAAAAUCAUUUUUGGUUACACUGUACAUGUUUCUGUCUUUUUAUUUGGGAUUAGUCUAUUUACUACUGUCGUAUGAAAAAUCUUGUGGUAGACAAGGAUUCCUGAAUAGCCAUAUCUUGUUGGAAUUAUUCAAUAAUGCAUAAUAUAUGGUUUAUGAUUGUAGGCAUGCCUUUUUUCUAGGUGACAACACUUCUCUACCUACCCAUCACAUAAAAUUGAGACUUUCUUUUGCAGCACUGCCUACUUCUCGUGCGUCCUACGCAUUUCCAUUUUUAACCUUCUUGCUACUUUAAGUAGUGGACGUUAUAAAAAUAAAAUAUUUUUGAGAAAUUUUUUAAAUGCCGUCUAAUACUUAAGUAAUGGAUCUUAUAAAAAAAUUUGGUAGGGUGGCUUUGGGGGUAUCCAAUACCUAAGUAGCGGACAAGGGUAUUAUGGUAAGUUUGUAGGGCACACGAGAAAAUGAGUAGGUUGGCAAAAAGAAAUUCUCCAUAAAAUUAGGUACACUUAAAACCAUCUAGUAUUAUUUUUCAUUUCAUAUGUGGACAACUUAUAGAUGGUUGCUCUUUGCCCCCUAAAGUGAUAGGAAUACCAUGUGUCCCUCAUCUAUUGGGAGAUAUUUUCUGAUAGUGGAAAUCUUAUCGAAAGAUACUUUUUAGUAAUGCAAAUCUUACCAAAAGAUAUUUUCUGGUAGUGUAAAUUUUACCGGGUGAUAGUUUUCGAUAGUGUGUUUUCUAGUGUGAGCAAUUCAGGAGGACGAAGAGCAAUCAUCCAACUCCUAAAGUCAAGAAAUGUCAUCUUCUAUUUUGGUUUACCAUUUGCAAGCCUAAAAUAUAUGAGGUUGGACUAGGAUUUAUAAGUCUCAUAAUAGUAAAAAAUUGCUACAUGAUGAAGCUUGGAUGAGAAAUUAAGUAUGUGUUUGAUAGCAAGUUUCAAAACCGCGGCAACCCAAUAAACCACGCUCCAAUGCAAUAAUUUUCCAUGAGAAGCUAGGAUUUUCAACUUCAUAGACGUGUGUUUUUUAGCCGCUUGCCGCGGAUACAAACAGACGAUAAGACUAUUACGAGACUUAUACCAGAAUCUAUACAUCAAACCAAUUGGAAAUUUCUUCCACAGACACUACUCAUAAUAGUGUUAUUUUCCAAAUAUAAUCAGAAAAUUAAGUCAUGAAUGAAGUCCAAAAAUAUCAGGUAGUUAGCUACAAAUCUGUAACUAAAAGAUUAAUUGAACAGAUAAAACAAGGACCUAUAUAUUAAAAUGCACAUGAAAAUGAAAGUGUUGUAAUAAUAAGUGUGAAAACUGUAUAAUUAAUUGUAAAGCUUAACUGAGAAAUAACAGUUAACCAAUCUAAGAAAAUACAAAAAGUAGAAUCAAACUGAUGCUUGAAAGGUGAUGCCUUAAUUUUCUCUUUGUGGCAAUUCUAGUUAAGAUCAUGUGGUAAGUGCCAAAUUAAUCUAGUUUGUAAUAUAGUUUUAUACUUAUAGGCACUUAUUAUUAGUAACUUGAUUUGAUAGAAAACAAUUAAUUUUGGAAAAGAUAUUAAUCGAAGACGACUUCAUUAUUGUUUUUACCAAAAGAUGCCUAUAGUAUUGCAUUCAUGAUAAUGUGUUGAAUACAUGUUGGAGUAUCGAUAAAAAUUUGACUCUAAAAUCCUUGACCAUCUUGUAAAUGGGUAAUGAGAGAUAAUUUAAUUUCAUAUCUGAUUUAUAAUAUAAUCAGUCAAACGACCUAAAUAAGUGUGAGAAGAUUCGUUCUCUAACAAAGUCUUUCUACUCUUUUCACUCAUCUUUUUCACAUUCUUUCUUACUUCAUCAUUAUCCAACACACUCCUAAUUCCUUUCUCAAUCUUGUCGGCGGUUAAAAGAUAGUUAGGUCCUUGAAAAAGGUCCAAUCUAUAAUCUAACACAAUCUCUACAGCCAUCUUGAGCUCAACGACCAAUUCAAAAGCAUUAGCUUGUUGUUCGGCAAAGAUCGGCCAUGUGGCAAUAGGCACGCCAAAAUAUACGCUCUCAAGUGUUGAAUUCCAGCCACAAUGUGAAACAAAUCCUCCAGUAGCUGGGUGUGCAAGUAUUUGGGUUUGUGGGGCCCAUCCAAUGACCCUGCCAAUCCCUGUCGUCCGAUCUAAGAACCCUUCAGGCAAAACCAAACUCAAAUCAGAAAGAGAGUAGUAUUCAGAGGGUGCAGCCAUGACUCCUUUUGGUAGGGGUUUGCGCAAAGACCACACGAAACGAGCUCCACUGUUCUCAAUAGCAUGGGCUAUCUCCUUAACCUGGUCCUCAUCGAAAGAACCGCGGGUCCCAAAGCAAAGAAAAACUACUGAAGAAGGUGGUUGAUCAUCGAGCCACUUGAUGAUAUCAUUAGACUCAACGACGCCCUUGGUUUCGGGCUCAGGGGUUAAUAUGGGCCCCACCGGAUAUAUAAUUGGCAAACCAGCUAGUUCGGAAUGAGAAGAAAAGGACUUAAUAGCAUGGGAUUCUAGCUCUUCAAAUGAAUUUACUAUGAUUCCAUCGGCCUUCUUGAGGCCUCCGACAUAGUUCAAGAAAAACGGUUCCCAUUCCUUGCUUAGCACGGAACCUGGCAAUGAAUAUGAAGGAACCGGGUGGGCAAAAGUUGGGAUUACCAACUCUUUCAGCUGCUGCAACUGCGUCGGAUCAACGUUGUCUCGUACACGGAGGGUGUGAAGAUGAAGAUUCAAACCAAGGGAAGCAACACCAGAAGUGAAGAAGACGAGCGUAGGAACAGAAAAUUCUUUGGCAAUAUCAAUCAUGGUGGUGCAGAACAUGUCAACAACGAAGGCAGCGAGGUGUCCAUAUUGUUCACCAUUAGUAAGAUCAGAGACGGCUUGUCUGACGUUUGGUUUCUGAGCUUCAAAGAGAGCGCCAAAGGCGUCUCUUGGAUUGGUGUUCGGAGGUAGAGAACAUUCAGGAAGGUUGAUGAAGCUGAUCGAAUCGGAGGUGGAAAGUGAUUUAGUGUAUGCAUCAGUUCCUCUUGAGUUUGGAAAUUUCAUGAGCAAGACGGUUAUAUGGAGACGAUUAUCACGGUUGAUCAGAAGCUUCGCAAACUCAAGAGUGGAAAUUAGAUGGCUCGGACCGGGAAAAGGUAUAAACACCACUUCUGCUUUCUUCAUCUUGGAGCACAAGAUAUUCACUUAAUGUAAGUUACGGUUUAGUGAAUUAUGAGUAUUGAAGUCUUCUUUGUUUGAUAUAUGUGACACCUUUACUUAUAUAUAUGGUUUAUAUCUACAUUAUGUUUGAUCAUCGAAGUUUUAAAUUAUAUAUUAUCCUUGUAUCUUCUACUUUUGGAAGAAGAAUACACAAGAAUUAAUCAAUUUACAUAUUUUAUGUUUUGAUUUGUAAUGAAUCUGGUCAAACUAUGUAGAUGCUAUUGUUAUUUUUGAAAAUAAAAUAUUUGAAGUGUCAAAAGCAAUUUUACACAAUCAAUUUUGGCAUAUACCAAUAAUCUUGAGAGUGAUGUCAUGGCAGACAAGGAUAUCUUGCUAUAGUCGUAUAUAUGGACUUUUGAAAAUUUGUGUGGCAGACAAGGAUAUCUUAUUGGAAUUGUUCAAUAUAAUAAUGCAUAAUAUAUAGUAUGUGGUUGUGGGCCUGGAUUUUUUUUAAGAUUUUGUAUUUGGCAUAAGGACCGACGAAUCUGAAAGAUUCAUUAAUACUAAUGUUCAUUAAUUAACGGAGGCAACUUUAAGGUCAGAUUUUCGUUUUGUAUGGACUGACCUAAAACAAAAAGUGGCACCGGAAGAAUUCGAACCUAAGAACUUCUGAGGAACAUACUCCAAAGUCUCAAGCCUUCACUACUUCAGUAUGCGUUUGACAAGAACAAUGGGGUGCAGGCUAUGGUACCUUAUUUUUAUUUAGAGUAUGGUAUAAUAUAUAAAUUGUUUUGGAACUUUGUAGACCGGAAUUUUUGACAAUAAUAUCUUCUAGACUGCAAUUUUAUGACUCUAGCUUCUUAUAAUAUACUUUUUGUUUUUCUAUCAGAACAAGGACAUAUAUUAAAAUUCAUAUGAAAAUGACAGUAUUGUAAUAAGUGUGGAAACUGCAUAAAUUAUAAAGCUUAACACAAAAAUCACAGUUAACCAAUCAAAGAGUAUAUCCUCAUUUUUAUCAUAGGAUUCCCACCACUAAAGUUAAUCUCAUUUGAGGCAUUUAGACAUUAAAAGUAGGCACCUCUGAACAUUUUGUAAGUGCGUAAAUGGAUAAUUUAAUUUUACACCUGAUUCAUAAUAUAAUCAAUCAAACGACCUAAAUAAGUGUAAGAAGAUCCACCCUCUAACAAAGUCGUUUUACUCUUUUCACUUAUCUCUUUCACAUUCUUUCUUACCUCAUCAUUAUCCAACACACUCCUUAUUCCACUUUCAAUCUUAUCGGCAGUUAAAAGAUAGUUAGGUCCUUCAUUAAACUCCACUCUAUAAUCUAACGCAAUCUCCACAGCCGCCUUCAGCUCAACGACCAAUUGGAAAGCAUUAGUCUGUUGUUCAGCAAAGAGCGGCCAUGUGGCAAUUGGAACACCAAAAUAUAUGCUCUCGAGUGUUG